ACAAACACUCUGCAUCUCUGGUAGGAAGCAUCUCUGGUAGAAAGCAUCUCUGGUAGAAAGCAUCUCUGGUAGAAAGCAUCUCUGGUAGAAAGCAUCUCUGGUAGGAAGCAUCUCUGGUAGGAAGCAUCUCUGGUAGGAAGCAUCUCUGGUAGAAAGCAUCUCUGGUAGAAAGCAUCUCUGGUAGAAAGCAUCUCUGGUAGAAAGCAUCUCUGGUAGAAAGCAUCUCUGGUAGAAAGCAUCUCUGGUAGGAAACAUCUCUGACAUGUUUCUGCACCUUAGAUGUAAAAGAAAAUGCAGAUUAUUUUUCCUGAAAGACAUCAAGAAGUGAACACAGCUGAUGGAGUUGAAACUAAACUUCAUGAUUUUAUCUGGUAAUGUUCAAAGUAAAUCUGAUCAGCUAGCCAUCAGCUAACCACCAGAUAACCAUCAGCUUACCAUCAAAUAACCAUCAGAUAACCAUCAGGUAACCACCAGGUAACUACCAGGUAACCACCAGAUAACCAUCAACUUACCAUCAAAUAACCAUCAGAUAACCUUCAGGUAACCACCAGCUAACCACCAGGUAACCAUCAGGUAACCACCAGAUAACCACCAGAUAACCAUCAGCUUACCAUCAAAUAACCAUCAGAUAACCAUCAGCUAACCACCAGAUUACCAUCAGCAUCAUAAAACACUGAUGUUCAUGAUCUGAGUCUCUUGCAGCUUGUAUAAACUCAAACUGUCUGCUGGCAUUAACAGCUGGUUGAUAACAGAAAAAUAUGUGUUCAGAUUACCUGCUUCCAUCCCAUCUACAGGAAAGAGAAACCAGCUCAGAAAGAAUUAUGAGGAUCUUUUUAUCAGUUUUGGUCCUUUUAGCCCAAAGUCAUCAAUGAUCUCAGAAUAUAAGCAACAGUUGAGCUUCUGAACCCGUUUUAUUAACUGAGAGUUCAUUUAGUCAAACAGAACAAAACAGAGUGAACAGAAAUAAGAGGAGAAUUCUUCUGUAGAUGAAGUGGACAUGGUCUGUCGAUGAUCUGUAGAUGGUCUGAUGGUGGUCUGUAGAUGGUCUGAUGGUGGUCUGAUGGCGGUCUGUAGUUGGUCUGAUGGUGGUCUGUAUAUGGUCUGAUGUUGGUCUGAUGGUGGUCUGUAUAUGGUCUGUAUAUGGUCUGAUGUUGGUCUGAUGUUGGUCUGAUGGUGGUCUGUAUAUGGUCUGAUGGUGGUCUGUAUAUGGUCUGAUGUUGGUCUGAUGUUAGUCUGUAGUUGGUCUGAUGGUGGUCUGUAUAUGGUCUGAUGGUGGUCUGUAUAUGGUCUGAUGGUGGUCUGUAUAUGGUCUGAUGUUGGUCUGAUGGUGGUCUGUAGUUGGUCUGUAGUUGGUCUGAUGGUGGUCUGUAUAUGGUCUGAUGUUGGUCUGAUGUUGGUCUGAUGGUGGUCUGUAUAUGGUCUGAUGGUGGUCUGUAUAUGGUCUGUAUAUGGUCUGAUGUUGGUCUGAUGUUGGUCUGUAGUUGGUCUGAUGGUGGUCUGUAUAUGGUCUGAUGGUGGUCUGUAUAUGGUCUGAUGUUGGUCUGAUGGUGGUCUGAUGUUGGUCUGUAUAUGGUCUGAUGGUGGUCUGUUGGUCUGAUGGUGGUCUGUAUAUGGUCUGAUGGUGGUCUGUAUAUGGUCUGAUGGUGGUCUGUUGGUCUGAUGUUGGUCUGAUGGUGGUCUGUAUAUGGUCUGAUGUUGGUCUGAUGUUGGUCUGUAUAUGGUCUGAUGUUGGUCUGUAGUUGGUCUGAUGGUGGUCUGUAUAUGGUCUGAUGUUGGUCUGUAUAUGGUCUGAUGGUGGUCUGUAUAUGGUCUGAUGUUGGUCUGAUGUUGGUCUGAUGGUCCAUUCUGUACUAGAAACCUAAUAAAGUCUUGAAGAUUAGCAGAGACUUCACCAGAAGAAAACCGAAGCAUUUCUAAUUGAAAAUCCUGACUGUCCUCCUGUGUU